rnacentral:rRNA from 1 species
AGCGAACGCUGGCGGCAGGCUUAACACAUGCAAGUCGAGGGGAGCGGCAGACGGGUGAGUAACGCGUGGGAACGUACCUUUUGGUUCGGAACAACACAGGGAAACUUGAGCUAAUACCGGAUACCGAAAGAUCGGCCCGAGUCUGAUUAGUUAGUUGGUAGGGUAAUGGCCUACCAAGGCGACGAACAGUAGCUGGUCUGAGAGGAUGAUCAGCCACAUUGGGACUGAGACACGGCGCAAACUCCUACGGGAGGCAGCAGUGGGGAAGAUUGGACAAUGGGGGUAACCCUGAUCCAGCGAUGCUGCGUGAGUGAUGAAGGCCCUAGGGUAGUAAAGCUUGUUUGUGCGGAAAGCGGUACCGAAAGAAUAAGCCCCGGCUAACUUCGUGCCAGCAGCCGCGGUAAUAC